AGUGCCCUUCGGGAACCUGGAGACAGGUGGCUGCAUGGCUGUCGUCAGCUCGUGUCGUGAGAUGUAGGGUUAAGUCCCGCAACGAGCGCAACCCUUGUCAUUAAUUGCCAUCAUUCAGUUGGGCACUUUAAUGAGACUGCCGGUGACAAACCGGAGGAAGGUGGGGAUGACGUCAAGCCCUCAUGGCCCUUAUGGGUAGGGCUUCACACGUAAUACAAUGGUCGGUACAGAGGGUUGCCAACCCGCGAGGGGGAGGCCAAUCCCAGAAAGCCAUUCGUAGUCCGGAUCGCAGUCUGCAACUCGACUGCGUGAAGUCGGAAUCGCUAGUAAUCGUGGAUCAGAAUGUCACGGUGAAUACGUUCCCGGGUCUU
rnacentral:rRNA from 1 species